CAGCCGCCAAGGUAAUACGGAGGGUGCAAGCGUUAAUCGGAAUUACUGGGCGUAAAGCGCACGCAGGCGGUCUGACAAGUCAGAUGUGAAAUCCCCGGGCUUAACCUGGGAACUGCAUUUGAAACUGUCAGGCUGGAGUCUUGUAGAGGGGGGUGGAAUUCCAGGUGUAGCGGUGAAAUGCGUAGAGAUCUGGAGGAAUACCGGUGGCGAAGGCGGCCCCCUGGACAAAGACUGACGCUCAGGUGCGAAAGCGUGGGGAGCAAACAGGAUUAGAUACCCCGGUAGUCCCUGUCUCUUAUAC
rnacentral:rRNA from 1 species